rnacentral:rRNA from 1 species
CGACGGGAUUGAGAGCUUGCUCUCAUGAGAGUGGCGCACGGGUGAGUAACGCGUAUGCAACCUACCUUUAACUGAGGGAUAGCCCAUAGAAAUGUGGAUUAAUACCUCAUAGUUCUGAGAAACCGCAUGGUUUUUCAGAUAAAGCUCCGGCGGUUAAAGAUGGGCAUGCGUGACAUUAGUUUGUUGGUGAGGUAACGGCUCACCAAGACUACGAUGUCUAGGGGUUCUGAGAGGAUGAUCCCCCACACUGGUACUGAGACACGGACCAGACUCCUACGGGAGGCAGCAGUGAGGAAUAUUGGUCAAUGGGCGCAAGCCUGAACCAGCCAUCCCGCGUGAAGGAUGACGGCCCUAUGGGUUGUAAACUUCUUUUAUACACCAAGAAAAAGCAGGACGUGUCCUGCCCCGACGGUAGUGUAUGAAUAAGCAUCGGCUAACUCCGUGCCAGCAGCCGCGGUAAUACGGAGGAUGCAAGCGUUAUCCGGAUUCAUUGGGUUUAAAGGGUGCGUAGGCGGCUUUUUAAGUCAGUGGUGAAAUCCUGCCGCUUAACGGUAGAAUUGCCAUUGAUACUGAAAAGCUUGAGU